rnacentral:ncRNA from 1 species
GUUCCGGUUCUCUAUUCAGAGGUUCGGAUGAAAAGGGAAUCAGGUGAGAAUCCUGAACAGUCCCGUUGCUGUGAGUUUCAUAUAAGAGGGUAUCAUACUCAUGCCACUGUUUGUAAAAAAUGGGAAGGCGAUACACCGGAAACAAGUCAGAAGACCUGCAAAACA